UAAUGCAAAACUAAUAGCUAUGGACGUUUUCAAAUAUCGUCUUCUCGGCUUGCUUUUAGGGUUCUUUGUACUGAAGAUUAGAUUAGAUUGAACUCCAAUGGAGGUUGUAUGGAUCAAAUUUUUGUUUGGAUUCACUGUGUCGGUCUCCUUCAUGACGUUUCGUUCCUGAUUCAUCUCCUCCUUUACGUUAUGUAGUUAAGUGUUCAUCGCCCAUUAACAUCGUUCUUUACUACUUGGACCCACUCACCCACGAUUCAUCAUUCAAUACUUCUCUUCUCCUUCCUAGGCGGUGAAAACUUCACCUAUAAAAAGUCACCAAGAAUAAAGUCGAUCGCGAUCUCAAAGCUAGGAACACCGGAGGUUCUGCUCUGAUGAACAGUUUAUGACGAUGAGUUUCUUAUUAGCUCUUACCUUGGUCCAAGCUGCUCCGGAACCAUCGAAUCCAUUGGCAAGGAAAGUCCUUCUCUUGCUGGGAAGUUGGAAACCAGUUAGGAUUGUGCUCUUCUUUCUGGAGGAGGAGGAUAAACAGAAAAAGUUAUUGUACCAAUUCGAAAAAAUCUUCCUAAAAGAUUCAGCAGCUUUCCAUAAGGUGGUGCUUGGGUUCCUUGGAGUGGAAGAAGGCUUCUGAAUUCACGUAAGUUUGCUUCUUCUCCUUUUGUUUCGUGAUGGUCCUUUUAUACUUACUUUAGGCUUAUUUAAUCUUCUUUUUCACUACAAAUCUCUCUGCAUAUUAUCUUCCUAGAUAUUCAGUUAUAGUUCUUGGCCUAACUACGUUGAGUGAAAAUAUGUAGCUCGGGGUAGGAAACAUAUUUUGAAUUAGGAUUCUGCUAAAGAACGUUUGGAAUCCAGCUUUUUAUUUACUUCCAUGCUUUCUAUCUAGUGGGUAAUUUUAGAAUCGGAACCAAGAUUAGAUCUGGCUCUAGGUUAUGAUGAUGUGAACGGCGAGCAUCCGAAAUCGACACAGUACUCAGCAGAAGUUUAGCCUCCAGAAGCAACUACGACGGCGAUGAUACUGUCACGAUGGCUUACUAUGAUGCUAGAAAAUCUUUGGAGCAAGACAGAAAAAUAGCAACUAUUUUUCGCCAGCACCUUCGAGAGGAACAUGCCUAGAACACAAAUCAGUGUUGGUUACAAAUGUUACAGUACUCAUGUUUUCUACAUGAGUGGAAGUAGAACUGUAGGAGUAACAUCAUGAGCCGUAUCCAUAGCCGAAACCCAUUGCAGAGAGUAUGAUGAGAUGCCAGAGGAUCUUACCACGCACACAAGACAAAGGCCAGAAAGAGAAAUGGAUGGUAGAUAUGGUGACUACGACUUUGUCUGUAUUGCAAAUUGCUUUCUGGUCCAUUAAAAAAACUUUUAAUUUAUUGUUUUAAAUUCUAAAUGGCUCUCUGUUCUUUUUUUUGUCAACCCUUUUAUAUUUAUGGCUCUCUGUUCAUUUA